GGGGGGCUUGGGGAGAAAUUAUGACACGUCUCUAAAUAAAGUAAAAUUUUCCAGUGCAGAUUGGAGACAACCCAUAGAAGCACUGAUCUGAUCUCAUUUCAGAGAAAAAUAGAACAGGUUAGAUGCACCUAAUAAAUAAAAUUACUAACAAACUCAGGAAUCUUUCUUUGCUUCACUGUUCUGGUGCUGAGCAUAUCACUAAUGCGGAUCAAAGGAGAUACACAGAUGAAUGCACCUCUUAUUUAUUAUUUGGAGACUACAUUUACUGCAGCUGGCAGAGGUAGAUUUUUUUUCUAUUGAUACACCGAAUUUACAGAAUCAUUUUAAAUGUUAAUAGGGGAAGACUACAGGAGGGAGCGGUAAAAUACAGGGGGUCCCCAGCAAAAACAAGAAACUACGAGUCUGAUGAAACCCGCUAGAUUUCCAUCAGGCAGUCACGGGGCAGCUCCAACGACCCAGUGGCUGUGCUGGGGUCAGUUAUCGAGCCCAGUCCGGUACCGGCUCGGCCGUGAACGAGCCGAGGCGACGCCGUGCUCUGCUUAAGAAGAAGCGUUAUUUUCCCGCUUCAGAAGAAGCGUCCAAUGUGUUUUUACGCUUUCUCCGAGACAUGUCACGUCGCUAAGUUGUUAGCGGUGCCGUAUUACAUAAAUAGUGCAGCGUAGCCUGCUGGAGGUUUUAAGGGUUCAGAUGAAACACCCGACCUCUCAGGCUGCUUACACAUCAAUCUUAAGUUGUCGCUGUUGCGCUCACGCCGUAAUACAGUAUUAGAUGCGGUUAAAGUCAGACAUGAAAAAAUAAAUAAAUUUUACAUGAAUAAGUGAUGCUUAGCCUGGUGGGGGGAGGAAAAUCUGGCCUAAUAAGCACGGGAGGAAACCCUGUCAAGAUCGUCAACACUCGUUUAUCUUAAUGCUGUUGAAACAUGUAAACCAAAAAGCAUUAUAUCCACUGCUACCUUUCUAAUUUUAAACUCAGUAACUUAUGCUGUAACUGCACCUUGCUCUGCCUGCUCCUUUCUUCCUGCUGCCCGCCGGCUGUGAUCACAAGCGACAACAUAGUAGUUCCCGCUGCUUCUUCGGGAAACAGCGAAUAAAUAAAUAAAUAAAACUUGGGAUCUUGUAGGCGUGGCGGUAAGAUUUCAGCCGUGGCGGGCCGCCACGGCUACGCCUAUGUAAGGGAAACCCUGUGCUUGAAAUUAAAACAAGCUUUUAACAGUGAGGUGCUAGUUUUAUUCAUCACAAUAGAGCUAGUUAAACAUGCAACAAUGUGAUAAUUCAAUUAAUGUAAUUUAUAAAUAUCCAUUAAAAUAUCAAAACUGGAAUCAAAAUGAGAUAUUUGGCAGCACAAAAAACGUGUCAAACACAAUAUUUAUUAAAAUAAUUGUAGGCAGACAGGAGACAGAGCUGAUGGAGGUUCUCAGUCAUCGAAGGAUGGCUGAAGGCUUUCCAGGAACAGGAGAUGUGGUGUUGUCUCUUCUCUCUCUAUUCUGCCAGAUGAGCUGAUAGGUUACAGGUGUGUGAGGAGGUCCUCAUGCUGUCAUAACCAGAUGACAUGAGUUAUCAGGUAAUCAGCCAGGCUAAUGAUGAGAUGCAGAAAGAAAACAAAUCCAGGACAGUGUACAAUAAUAUGUGGUGUUGCUCACCUUAUGUGCUCUUAUAGAGUAUUAACGUGUGCCUGCCUCAUGGUGUAGAGUCCAUAUUUUGCUGAGUGUGCUGCAAUAAUGCAUGUUAUUAGUUAAAUUACUUUUGAUAGCAAAUAACAAAAUGUUUAAUGUAAAAGUUAUUUACCAGGUGAAUCAGCUCACACGUCACCACCAAGUGUCACAGGGCCAGAAUCAGUAGCCUCCUUCAUGAUGUCAUGAUGUAAUCACAUACUUAUUUAAUUGUUAAUAUCUUAAAGGAGACAUAACAUGAAAAACCCACUUUUUUAUCCAUUAACACAGUGUGUUUCACAUUUUAAGUGUCUAAGUGAGCAAAAAGGCUUAUAUUAUUCACUGGAGUUGCUAUUUAGAUAUUUAAUAAUUAAGUUUUGGGCAUAUUUGUCCACCCGUUCAGUUUUUCACAUUAUCUAUUACAUCAGUAAUUUAUUUCGUCAGGAUAACUACCAAAUAUGGUAAUGGCCCUCGGCUAAACACAGAGCCAAUCCGCCAUUUUUUCUUCUCGCUAAGAUUUUUUGUAGUCCUAUUGGAAAAAUGCAGAAUGUCUGGUUAUUUUAGCCACACACAGCUCAAAACUGUUCCUCGUUUUAAGGAAGGGUGGUGUGGCAGUAUUUAAACCCAGGAGCUGAGGACACUACUGCUAAAAAAACACAGAAGAAAAAGUAGCGUGUGUGUGUGUGUGGUGUGUGUGUGUGUGUGUGUGCGCGUGUGCGUGCGUGUGCGCGCGCGCGGUUCGUUCGUUCGUGUCUCCAGGCUAGUGGCUAAGUACUGAGGGCUUCAUCUAUCUAAAAGGAGUCAUUUCCAUCUGAAUGUGGCAGCACCGGGACACAGCAGCAGAGCGGUAAGCUUCAUAUCACUCUAAAAUGUCGACAAACUUUACUUUAGAUUUACGGGCAUUAGCAGCACUAAAGCGUUAGCAUCCGGCUUGCUAUCGCUAGCACAGUAUGCUAGUAAAGUUAGCACCCAGAUUAAUGUGGAUUUGGCUGAUUUUCGUGGAAUAAAACGUGAUUUCUGAUCAACGCCUUCUUUUACACCAGAUGAUAACCUUCCACUGAUUGUAACAGCAGAGAGCCUGUGUGUUAUUCUACGUGAGUGUGAUGUAAUCUUAGCAUCCAGUAAAUAAAGUCCCAUAUCAGCUAAAAUGCAGCGUGACAAAGUCAUUAAAGUGCGUCAACACAGUGGAUUUAAUACAAGUUUUAAAGAACAAUCUCUGAGUGGAGUGAGGUUAGUUUUUUGUCUCACUGCAGAUAUAAAAACUAACUCUGCAUCAGUCAGACGCAGCAAAGCUCACCGUCUGUAUGAGCGUGAGCGUCGGAAAGCUGAUAAAAUCAGCUGUAAAAUAAUUAAAACAAAACUAAAAAUGCUCCUUUGCUUUUUACAGUCCACUUCCAGAAGGCUGGAGCCGUGUUUCACUGACAGGCUGUCAGACUAACGCCCUGAUGAGCUCAGCUGGGACAAACUGGUCUGAUGUUUAGGAACACAGAACGUUCAGAUGUUGGACCUUCACUUCACCUACUGAGGAAGGAGACCCACCAGUAAAGAGAUGGUCUGGACCAGACCAAAAAUAUGACAAUGACAUCAUGGAACUGGUCUUUGGAAAAGUUUUCCCUGAACCAACUCCGUUUCUAGAUGAGGUAGAGAAGAUCAGCAUCUCACCAACUCUCUGGUCUCAGAGACAACGGAGGUCUCCCACUGUUAUCCAGGACCAGUUUGAAGCCCACAUACUGCCCCUCCCUCAUCAUUAGGAAACAUCAAUCCGUAUCCUGAGGACAACAGAAGACGGCAGGAGGACAGGAACUCUGAGACCUAGAUACCACCAGCACUGGGACCCAAAGCGCCUGUGUGCACAACGCCUGUUUAACUACUAAAGCCUGUUUAUUAUAUUGUUCUACUUAUUUGCUGUGAGGUUAAUACUUAGAAAAUUUGUAUAUUAAUGUAAACAAUUAAAAAAAUCACUGAUUGUAUGUUUUCUUUUAGAUGUAAUGGUCCAAACUCAGCCUUGUAGACAUUUAUUGCAUCCUGUAGGUAAAUACACAGAACAGGCUCAGAUCCAGGAUGACCCAGCAUGCUCUUCUUCCAUUCUGGCUGUUAGGGAUUGUAUCAAUAACUCAAUGCCUACUGAUGUUUCCACCUAACGGUAUUUAUUUAGAAUGCAGGUAAGAUUUAACUAUGUUUGUUAGCAAAGCAGACUGAUCUUGGGAAUUUCACUGCAGCACUGAUGUCCACCUCUCUGUACACAUUAGAGAGAAUUACCACUUUACAGCAAAACACACAUUUAAUAAAGAUAUAGGCUACACAUUGCAGACAAUUAAAAAGUUGUAAGCAUUAGAAUUAUAAUGAUCACAUUAAAGAACAUUUGGAGGAAUGUUCUUUAUUUGUCACUAGAAUCUCAAAUCUUUAAAUUAAAAUGUAACUGCUUUUUAUCCAUUUUCAGCCAUUAAGACACCCAAUAUUAAAUAAGACUACUUAUAAAAUUAUUUAUAAUUAUAUGUAUGUAUAUAUAUAUAUAUAUAUAGAGAUCUUAAUAAAAUAUAUUCUUUUAAUGGUGUUUUAAUGAGCUGUAUCAUUUUUUAAAACAUUUUUUAUAGAAAUAAAUAAGCAAGCAGCAUUCCUUGUGUGUGUGUGUGUGUGUGUGUGUGUGUGUGCGUGCGUGCGUGCGUGCGUGCGCGCGCGUGUGUGCCUGCUGCUUGUCCUUCCGUCGGCCGUCACGGGUGUGUGUGUGUGAGUGACUGCAGACAAAUGCAUGAGAGAGUUAGCAGCCUUGAAACAGCUUGAUGAACUACUCUCCCCACAUGUUUUAAAAAUGCUAAUAUGCUACGCUAAAUCUGCUAUGCUAAAUAAUGAUUUCUCUAUAGAACUACAAAGCCCGACUGGGGGAGGAGAGUACAGGUCUGCACUAUGGAGGGGGGGCGGAGUUUACAGCUCCUCCUCCAGUUUAAAGAGACAGUACCCCAAAACGGCUCGUUCUCAAGACUCUCCUCAGAACAGGGGUAGAUGAGGGUCUGUAGAGCAACAAUAAUGAGGAAAUCAGACCAAAGAACUGCAGUUCCACUGUAUUUAGACCCCCAACUGAAGGAUUUAGAUGUAAAAAGGAAUAACUUAAAAGCAUGUUAUGUCUCCUUUAAAAAUUCUGAAAUGUUAAAAAAAAAUUUUUUUUUUACCUUGAACAGUUCACUGAGCUUGCACUGUCAGUGAGGUGGAAGCUGGAAUCAACAGCAGACACCUCACGUCUUGGUCUUUUCAGGGGUGUGGACGCUGCUCUGGGACUUUCUGGAAGAUGAAUUUCCAUCAUGGUCCCUGUGUCACAAGACAGUCUGCGGCUCUGAGCUCUAUUCUGGCUGACUAUGUAAAAAACAAACAAACAGCACAUUUAUAAGUGUUUAAAAGAGCAUAAAUUCACAUGUAACAAUAAUCUGCAAAACAAAUUAAAACUAGAAGGUGAUAAUGAAAUGUUUACAUAGAAGAUUAUUAAAAAUAAUUCACCUUUGCUACGGUUAACGCUUCACGUCAGCCUGGACAAGUGCAUUCUUGCAGCUAAUCAGUCUGACAGCCAAUAUCUUGGGUAGAUUUAGCCUGAAAAAAAAUAGAAGCACAUUGCUGUUGGAGUUUAUAAAGUCAGAUAAUAUACAAAAGAAACUGUCCUAUAUAGGCGCUUUAUAACAUUCCUAGUGUGUGAUCGUUGUUAUAACAUAAAAGUCAGUGACUCUCCAUAUCAUAUGUGACUGACUGUCAGUCACAUAUGAUAUGGAGAGCCUGAAAUGCGACCUCCUGAACAGAAUUCCUCACGGAAUGGGGUCACAAGCUGGAUUUCAUGCUGUAAUGCUGUCUGUCAACUAGUGCUGCGUUAGUUAGAGACACUGUUGCAGAAUUACCGACUGACACAUAAACAACCCGAAUUUUCUCCAAGCCAUGUGGACCGUUUUGUCGGCCAGGGCUUCGAGAUAUGACCCGAUUCGCCGCUGAUUCUAACCUUACAUCCCUUUCCACAUUUUGUGAAGUUGACAAAUCUGCCCGAAGGCAGCGCAGGCUGAUAUUAGCUAAAUGGAGUGAACCACGUCUCUCAAACUUUGCAUUUAGGUAGGGAAUUGUCUUUAGAAGAUGUUAAAACUUUUAUUUAGCUUACUCACCUCAGACUGGAGCCUGCCAUGUUGGGGAGCAGAGUCGGUGGGCUGCAUCUAAAUCGCGGAAUAGCCACGGUGGGCACAGCCUCCCUCUUCAAACGGAGACGUGCAGAAUCGCGGGUAAACUGCUGGUUGCAAACUACAGCACCAGGCAGGAGCUGAAUGUUUUCCAGACACCGAUUGCGCGCAACCACUGGCGCCUAAUUUCUAAGUCCAGCGGAAAGGAGUGCAACCCCACAGAGCCACCGCAACCAUACUACACUACACCUUCUCACCAUACUAACAGGAUAUGGAGCACUAAACCUGAACUACUUUCCUGAUUACACUAACAGCCAAAAACUAACUAAACUACAAUAUCCAACAGCCAAACUAACACUAAAUAAGUAUGUAUAACACUAAAAGCUAUGCUAAAGACUAGGAUAUGCUAAUGCUAUAUGCUAAUGCUGAACUACGGCUAACCGUCCUACACUCGCUUGUAAAUCCAACUCCCAACUCGCCACAAGGCGUGGCCGAGACUCUCGAUGCUUUAUAACUUUGACACAGAGCUGCUUCGUAGUACUCUACUGGUUUACGUAGUAUCUUACUCUUUAGCCAUUGGCUAAAAUUUAUUCAAAAUGUCUCAAAUUCUAUGUUUUAAGCUGAAGGUGGCGCUAUACUGUGGUAUUUAGGCAGAAUUUUUAAUUUUUAAAGAAAAUGCACCAAAAUGCUAAAAUAAUGAAUACACACAUUUAAAACACUAUUAGACACUCAUCUAUACAGUUCAUCAGCAAAAAAAAGUUAAUUUAGACGUUACUUGCUCUUUAAAAUGUAGCGAAUUACAAUUAUUUUUUAAAAAUGUACACAAGUAAAAGUAAAAGUACAGAUUUUAAAAGCGACUUAAAAAGUAUAAAUACACAAACAAGCUACUCAAUUACAGUAACGUGAGUAAAUGUAAUCCAUUACUUUCCACCUCUGGUUUCAACUAGUUCAAGCCCAGUUCAGUUAUUGAAAAAUAACUGAAGGUGGUGCAACAGUGAUUUACGGGAGAGGAGAGGAAAAGUGGUGACUAAGGUUGUUUAUUUUGCCAGUUUAAUCUGGUUUCUACUAGUUAAAGCCCAGUUCACUUGAUUUAGCACACCUGGUGGGGAACAUAGAGGGCGGUAUUUACAAAAGAUAAGUGUUAGCUAGUUUACGAACGUUAGUUUAUAUUCUCCACGCUGCUCCUUUGCCAGAAUUCAUUCUGAUGGAUUUAUAACAUUAUGUGAUUAACAACAUUUCACUUUAUACUGGAGUCGAUUAAAACAAUAGGGAUGUACAAAGUUCACCGGUUAUCUGGCGUUACCUGCCUUAAAGGUCAAAACCGGUCACUAAAGCGUUACCCGGCUAAUUGCUUUUCACGCCCUUCAGCUGCUGUUGUGUGUAAUAUUGUAGUGGUUAAAUGUGUUCAGUCAGUAAUGACGGCAGUACAGAACAGUUUUCAUUUGCAUUCACUAGUGAUUUGGGCUGGACGAUAUAGAAAAAAUGUAUAUCGAUAACAAUUUGUUAAUAUUGAUCGAUAUUGAUAAUAAUUGAAUAAUUUAUUAGAAAUUGUAGAACUAUAUUUUCCGUGCGGCCCUGGCCAUUUUAUUUAUGGUAAGUUUACUUUUACCUCUUCUCCCUGAAGCAUCUUGCUGCCUCAUGCUCUGUUUUGGCUUGAGAAGAGGAAGGCCUGGUGAUGUAGCAUGCCGAGUCUGUGGUUUUGAUUGGUUAAGUAGUGAGUCUGAUAUGCUGCUACCUGAUAGGUUAUAAUGAAAAAAAGGAAUCGACUAGGGCUGCACAAUAUAUUGAAAAAUUAUCGUCAUCGCGAUAACAGGACGUGCGAUACGCCCAUCGCAAAGCACGUCAAAAACGGCGAUAAAUGUUUGGUUCAAACAUUUCCAUACAUCAGCUUUUUGUAAACCAGCUCUGUUUUUUACGCGGAAGUAUUAUUUGACCAAUCGAAUGUAGCCCUUCUGAUAUGCGGCCAUCUGAUAUGCGGCCAAUCAGAUGGGUCCGUUCACGUAAUACGCCCACCCCCUACGUAGACCCUUACUCCAAAAUUCCACUAGCUCCGCUCCGCCCCCGCUUUCCGCUGCCGCUCGCUUCCCUUGUUCGUCAUGCUGGCUCAGAUUAACGAACGCACUUUGUGCUGAGGUUUCUGGAAUCCGCGCUGCUUUCAAAAGUGAACGGUGUCGUUAAGCAGCUGAUAAUAACCGGGCUGACUCAAAAUAGUUCUUGUCUUCGCUUGGUAACAAAGGUGAAGCAGUUCAGAUAAGCAGAGUGCAUGAAAGACCUUGGCCACUAUCUCAUGUAGAUUAGGCUGUCAGAGACUUUAUAUCUCUGCUCGAGCAGACACAGCAGAUCUUGACCUUUAGGUCAUAAACAGGACAUUCAUGACCAUACAUAUCCCCCCUUUUCAAGGGCAUGGUGGUCCAGGCAGAGACCACCUGACGUUGAACAAACCAGAGGCCAGAAGGACACCGUCGAGAAAGCAAGGUGUAAUUUCCCAGGCAGAGGCCAAAAGUGGUGAGGAACGAACCCCACACCGAAGGACAGUCACGGAUCAUUUCCUUUGGAAGCGGUCAAAUCAACAGUCAGUAGAUCAUUAAUAUAUCCACAGGAAGGGAAUAAUUCAAGCAGCAGCAGAAUUUUGUAUCUCCGCGUGGAGGGAAUAAUUCAAACAGUAAUUUGGGACUGGCAAGUCCGGGCAAUAGAGAUCACCCCCCUUACGAAGUAGAAGGCCUAGCGGAAGGCACGGGAGGUGCCAGCGGAGGUACAGGUGUGGGAGCGACCGGCGCAGGAGCGACCAGCUCAGGUUGCGGUAUCUGGACAGCCAGGGCGUUGCGGACAACCGGCACAAGAUAGGAGGUUACCGACGCUGCGGACCGAGUCCCAUAGAGAGGUCAUCCGUGCGGAGCAGUGACGGAACAGGAAAAAUGACAACCCCAAAGACAGACAAAGGUUUAAGCAUGCAGUGAAUAAUACGACAGAAUCAGCGGAGGACCAGGAAUAAGACACUGGUUGAAACCUGAGACUGGGAUCUGCUGACAACUCACGCAGCACCCUGUUCACCGCACCAACCCGAACCAUGGUUGGGACCACUGAACGUAACACGAUCCACCGUAGCUGGAGAAAGAGCAAAGGAGAUGUUAUCAUAGAAAGGAGAAAACUCCACAACAGACCUAUGCUCACCAGGAUCCAAGUAAUAUAGAGAGACCUCACCUACAACACCUCCUAUAACAGGACGUGCGAUAGGCCCAUCGCAAAGCACGUCAAAAACGGCGAUAAAUGUUUGGUUCAAACAUUUCCAUCCGUGUCAUACAUCAGCUUUUUGUAAACCAGCUCUGUUUUUUACGCGGAAGUAUUAUUUGACCAAUCGAAUGUAGCCCUUCUGAUAUGCGGCCAAUCAGAUGGGUCCGUUCACGUAAUACGCCCGCCCCCUACGAGCUGCCCCGCGCUGCUCGGCUGUCUCCAUCCGAAGGUUGAGAUGUUUGCCAGCCAACAUAACCGCUCUUGUUUUCGGCACCACCACUUCCUCCGCGCGCCGACACCGGAGCGUCAGAGACGGUGCUGCCGAGCGGAGCUUCCCGGGCUGCGCUUACUUUGGGCCGCCGUGCCGCUGCCUGGUUCACCCGCUCCAGCACAGACUGUAUCCCCAAAAUUCCACUAUCUCCGCUCCGCCCCGGCUUUCCGCUGCCGCUCGCUUCCCUUGUUCGUCAUGCUGGCUCAGAUUAACAAACGCACUUUGUGCUGAGGUUUGUGGCUCCGGUUAGCUUCCAGCUAAAAGGCUACAGCAGCACUCUCCUCCCAGUCCCACCCUGCUAAAGAGGGCCUGGAAAAGUUCCCCCACACAUCAAAGUGAUUUUUCAUUUCUGAGCUUUUAUAACCUUGUUAAUCAGGAUAGUUGAUUUGCUGCUGCACAUAAACUGUCAGUCAGAAGCUCUGCUAGCCGGUUAUCUUAGAGGAGCUUGUUCAAUUUGUUAGCUUGUUAUCAGAAUCAUAGUUGCAGUUUCACCAUCUGAGCUGCUUUUUAAGAUCUAGGUAAACUUGUUCUAUUUGGGGUUAAAAAGAAACGUUUCACAUAUUUUCCAUGUAGUUUUUUGCCAGUUCGUCUUCUGAAAGGUAGACAAUUGUUUUUCUCUUUCCCUCAGAAAAUCUUAAUAAUCUCCUUGUUUGGCCCAGCACAGUUCACUUCCCAGUUACAGCAACAGCCUUAUAUCAUAACCACAUAAGUGGAGAAAAUGCUCAGGAGCAAUGAGAGAAUUUGCUGUUGCAUUUAAGUGAUGUUAACUAUUAUUUAACAUUUAAACUUAUUUUCUGAUUUUUUUUUUAUUUAUUCAAAAACCCUGGUAAGGGAAUACAGAGGUACCGCUUUGCCAAGAGGCUAACUCUGGGAUAUGUUGUGGAGUGGAUCUUCCACCAUACCAGUGGAUUGGUUUCACUGUCUGCAUUUGGCACUUGCAGGUAACUGUUUAGUUCAGCCUCUACAGCUUGUUCAUCUGUUUGACCAGAUGUGGAAGCAGCAAAGGACUUUUUGAAAAAGCUGCCAAGAGUCUUUUUUGUUACAUUCAUUGGUGCAGCAGAAGAUGUGGCUUCUGCUGAGGUAGUUGGUCUGGACUGGGAAGUCUUCCAUUCGUCCAAUAUCUGAGACACAGCGUUGAUCUUUAAAGCCUCUUUUUUGUCAGCCUGGAUGUAGUUGGUCUUGAAGCGAGGAUCAACAAGGGUUGCCAUGCUCAGGAGGUCAUCAGUGACAUCAUCAUCAUAUUUUUCAUUUAAGUAGCAGGUGACUGAAUUCUUGAUGGCCUUGGUAAGUUCUGUGUCAGUAUCAUCUGGCUUGAAGACCUCUUCAUUAAAGAGCUGAAGGACAGGCUUCAUACAAGAGAUUCUGACAUGUGCUUCUCCAGAAAGGGCGUCAGUAAAGUCAACCAGGGGAUGUAGGGCCUUGUGGACAGACUCUAGAACAUCUAUGUCCUGCCAUGAAGGAAUCAGGUGCCUGUUUUUUCUGUCAUCUGACAAAACCUUUGCAAUAGCCUUCUCCUGCUCCAGAAUUCUUGCAAUCAUUGCAUGAUGCGACCCCCACCUGGUGGGGAUUCUGUGAUCAACUUGUGCUUUGGCAGUUUAAGUUCAUGCUGGGCAGCUGCUAGUGCUUUUUUCUUUUUCCAUGAGUAAGAAAAAGCACUGACCAGUUUUUUGGACACACCAACAGCUCUCUCAAUCCUCUUGUCUUUCAUGCUUCCACCUGAAAAAAAUAUUAAAUAACUUAACAAAUCUGAAUAUUACUAGAAUUGACAUAGAGACUGCAAAAUGCAAAACCUACAAACUCCAUAAAACAAUUUUAGUUUGCAUUUUUUUCAAAUGCUAUUAAUCAAGAGAUAACCAAAAACUGGGUUCAGUCAGUGUCAGACAACAAAAAGCUUUCAGUUGAUCCAGAAUGGUACAGCAAGAGUCCUGAUAAAUACUUUUCAACCUCUUAGGGCCCUGUGUUCACACAUAUAUGGACAUUGGCUCCUUGCACUAUGAAAUGUUAUAAUCUUCACCUUAGACCUUUUUGUUAUCAUUUAUAGACACAUGAUAUUGACUAUGUUAA